rnacentral:rRNA from 1 species
GACGAACGCUGGCGGCGUGCCUAACACAUGCAAGUCGAACGAGGUCCAAGGGAGCUUGCUCCCUGAAGACCUAGUGGCGAACGGGUGAGUAACACGUGAGGAACCUGCCCCGAACUCUGGGAUAACUCGAGGAAACUCGAGCUAAUACCGGAUGCCCUCAUCUGAUCGCAUGGUCGGACGAGGAAAGUUUUUCGGUUCGGGCGGGGCUGGCGGCCUAUCAGCUAGUUGGUGGGGGAACCGCUCACCCAGGCUACGACGGGUGGCUGGUGUGAGAGGACGAGCAGCCCCACUGGGACUGAGCCACGGCCCAGACUCCUCCGGGAGGCCGCAGUGGGGAGUCUUGCGCAAUGGGCGAAAGCGUGACGCAGCAACGCCGCGUGCGCGAUGAAGGCCUUCGGGUUGUAAACCGCUUUCAGCAGGGACGAAAAUGACGGCACCUGCAGAAGAAGCUCCGGCUAACUACGUGCCAGCCGCCGCGGUAACAC